rnacentral:rRNA from 1 species
GAUGAACGCUGGCGGCGUGCCUAAUACAUGCAAGUCGAGCGAACAGACGAGGAGCUUGCUCCUCUGACGUUAGCGGCGGACGGGUGAGUAACACGUGGAUAACCUACCUAUAAGACUGGGAUAACUUCGGGAAACCGGAGCUAAUACCGGAUAAUAUAUUGAACCGCAUGGUUCAAUAGUGAAAGACGGUUUUGCUGUCUCUUAUAGAUGGAUCCGCGCCGCAUUAGCUAGUUGGUAAGGUAACGGCUUACCAAGGCAACGAUGCGUAGCCGACCUGAGAGGGUGAUCGGCCACACUGGAACUGAGACACGGUCCAGACUCCUACGGGAGGCAGCAGUAGGGAGUCUUCCGCAAUGGGCGAAAGCCUGACGGAGCAACGCCGCGUGAGUGAUGAAGGUCUUCGGAUCGUAAAACUCUGUUAUUAGGGAAGAACAAAUGUGUAAGUAACUAUGCACGUCUUGACGGUACCUAAUCAGAAAGCCACGGCUAACUACGUG